UGAUGAUCCAUAAAGAUCUAGGUACCUUAAUUGCUUUAAAUUACCAAUUGAAUCCAAUAAUUCAACAACAUUAUGAUAAGGAGACAAUGAUAACACUCGUAGAUGCUUGAAUGAUGGCAAUAAUGUACAUAACACCUCAUUAUUGAUCCAUUCAAACCAACACCGCUUCUGUGACCACUCGGGUAAGAAGGCGCGCAAAACUUUAGCUUCAUGUAUGUCCUCAACCUGUUCAAAGGCAUCAUGUACUAUUCUUGAAUAUGAUAAAUGACAAGUCUUUUUAGCAAUUUUGCUUGAAUGGUUACCCUCCAACCUACAACAAAAUUCUCCAGAAACAAAUUUA
rnacentral:misc_RNA from 1 species